rnacentral:rRNA from 1 species
AGUGAACGCUGGCGGUAGGCCUAACACAUGCAAGUCGAACGGCAGCACAGUAAGAGCUUGCUCUUACGGGUGGCGAGUGGCGGACGGGUGAGGAAUACAUUGGAAUCUACUUUUUCGUGGGGGAUAACGUAGGGAAACUUACGCUAAUACCGCAUACGACCUACGGGUGAAAGCAGGGGGUCUUCGGACCUUGCGCGAUUGAAUGAGCCGAUGUCGGAUUAGCUAGUUGGCGGGGUAAAGGCCCACCAAGGCGACGAUCCGUAGCUGGUCUGAGAGGAUGAUCAGCCACACUGGAACUGAGACACGGUCCAGACUCCUACGGGAGGCAGCAGUGGGGAAUAUUGGACAAUGGGCGCAAGCCUGAUCCAGCCAUACCGCGUGGGUGAAGAAGGCCUUCGGGUUGUAAAGCCCUUUUGUUGGGAAAGAAAAGCAGCAGGUUAAUACCCCGCUGUUCUGACGGUACCCAAAGAAUAAGCACCGGCUAACUUCGUG